rnacentral:rRNA from 1 species
GUAGGUGGCAAGCGUUGUCCGGAAUUAUUGGGCGUAAAGCGCGCGCAGGCGGUUCUUUAAGUCUGAUGUGAAAGCCCACGGCUCAACCGUGGAGGGUCAUUGGAAACUGGAGAACUUGAGUACAGAAGAGGAAAGCGGAAUUCCACGUGUAGCGGUGAAAUGCGUAGAGAUGUGGAGGAACACCAGUGGCGAAGGCGGCUUUCUGGUCUGUAACUGACGCUGAGGCGCGAAAGCGUGGGGAGCAAACAGGGAUUAGAUACCCUGGUAGUCCACGCCGUAAACGAUGAGUGCUAAGUGUUAGGGGGUUUCCGCCCCCUUAGUGCUGCAGCUAACGCAUUAAGCACUCCGCCUGGGGAGUACGGCCGCAAAGCUG